UACGGAGGGUGCGAGCGUUGUCCGGAAUCACUGGGCGUAAAGAGCUCGUAGGUGGUUUGUCGCGUUGUUCGUGAAAACUCACAGCUUAACUGUGGGCGUGCGGGCGAUACGGGCAGACUGGAGUACUGCAGGGGAGACUGGAAUUCCUGGUGUAGCGGUGGAAUGCGCAGAUAUCAGGAGGAACACCGGUGGCGAAGGCGGGUCUCUGGGCAGUAACUGACGCUGAGGAGCGAAAGCGUGGGGAGCGAACAGG
rnacentral:rRNA from 1 species